CAGCCGUAAACUAUGCGCGUUAGGUGUACUGGUGACCACGAGUCACCGGGGUGCCGAAGGGAAACCGUGAAACGUGCCGCCUGGGAAGUACGGUCGCAAGGCUGAAACUUAAAAGGAAUUGGCGGGGGAGCACCACAACGGGUGGAGCCUGCGGUUUAAUUGGACUCAACGCCGGGAAGCUCACCGGAUAAGACAGCGGAAUGAUUGCCGGGCUGAAGACUCUGCAUGACUAGCUGAGAGGAGGUGCAUGGCGUAGACGUCU
rnacentral:rRNA from 1 species